AGCGAACGCCACCUGACAUACAAAAGAGAGAACACAGCAGGUUAACCAAAAAAUCACAUGGAGGAAAAUUAAAGGAACCAUACAAUAAAAAACAAAAACAUGCAAAAACUGUCAAACUGAAAACCUACAAACAGAAUAUUUAUACUUCAUAUAACAAAGGCGAAACCAGUCUAAUAUAACUCAUAGAACGAGUAUAUAAAACCUCUUUAGAGAAGAUGGGGACGGAGAGCUGGCCAUCCACAGGGUGGAGAGUGCACUUUGGGGGCCUCCACUUAGGUGGAGACCCCCACCCCAACCCAAACCUAACCAGCCAGGGCCUCCUGUGGAUCAAU